rnacentral:rRNA from 1 species
UACGGGGGGAGCAAGCGUUGUUCGGAUUUACUGGGCGUAAAGGGCGCGUAGGCGGCGUGUUAAGUCACUUGUGAAAUCUCUAAGCUUAACUUAGAACGGUCAAGUGAUACUGACGUGCUAGAGUGCAGAAGGGGCAACCGGAAUUCUCGGUGUAGCGGUGAAAUGCGUAGAUAUCGAGAGGAACACCUGCGGCGAAGGCGGGUUGCUGGGCUGACACUGACGCUGACAGCGCGAAAGCUAGGGGAGCGAACGGG